rnacentral:rRNA from 1 species
CCUACGGGAGGCAGCAGUGAGGAAUAUUGGUCAAUGGGCGCGAGCCUGAACCAGCCAAGUAGCGUGAAGGAUGACUGCCCUACGGGUUGUAAACUUCUGUUAUAAAGGAAUAAAGUGAGGCACGUGUGCCUUUUUGUAUGUACGUUAUGAAUAAGGAUCGGCUAACUCCGUGCCAGCAGCCGCGGUAAUACGGAGGAUCCGAGCGUUAUCCGGAUUUAUUGGGUUGAAAGGGAGCGUAGAUGGGUUGUUAAGUCAGUUGUGAAAGUUUGCGGCUCAACCGUAAAAUUGCACUUGAUACGGGCAGCCUUGAGUACAGUUGCGGUAGGCGGCUUUCGUGGUGUAGCGG